UCAGAAAAUAAACUAAGGGCUCCAUCGCUCGAAUUUCAUGCUCAAAUCCAUCCAAUGCUAUGCAUCCCGUAACUCUGUAAAGAAUGAAAAAAUUUGAGAUUAUGAGCUUUACAAUCCAAUAAGAAAUCUAUCACACAUAUCAAUAUAAUAAUAUAAUUCAAAAAUAAUAAAUGAGUCAUAUCAAAAAAAAAUCAUAAGCCAUAAAAUCUCAUGUCCACAAUAGUCAUAUAAAUAUAUAUCAUAAAUCAUGUAUUAUUACAAACACACCAUACAUAUCACAUGCAAGUUCAUAUGUGACUUAUCAUUAUGUUUCAUUAAUAUUUUUCAAAUCAAUCAUCGUCUUUCAGUUUGGACUAAUCAUGGUUACAUUUCAGCCCAUGACUAGCAAACCAUAAACCACGUUUCGAUCCAUGGUAACAAUCCUUAAUAACUAUACUUCAGCUCAUAGUAGUAAACCAUAAUAAUUAUGCUUCAAUCCGUAGUGAUAAAUCAGAAUAUUCAUGCUUCGACCUACGGUGGCAAACCAAGAUAUCCAUGCUUCGACCCACGAUGGUAAACCAGAAUAUCAUAAUUUAGCCCAUGAUUGGCAAUCCAGGGUGUCACGAUUCAGCUCGUGACUGACAAACCACGUCAUGGCUAGUCCAAAUCCUCUUGUACAUUUAACAAUUCUUUCAAUAAUUUAUAUUAUAUUCUUGUUUAAUUCAAAACAUCAAAUGCCAUAUUUCCAACAAUCAAAAUAAUUAACAUAUGAUACAUAUAUAAUAUAAAAUUAUAUAUCCAAAUAAAAUUAAAAUCAUCAUGCAUAAUACAAAAAAACAUACAUAUGAUUAGCUAAAGAGAUUCUUAUCUCUAGUAGUCUCAAACUGAAAUACAGCUAUUGAUCAACCCUUGGAUCUACGAACUCGAGAUUAAAGUAUUUUCAUUCGAUACGUUGUAUAGAUAAUUGUAUCUCUACAUAAUCAAGAUCAAACAUAAAAAUCAUCGAUGAUUAAAGAUAAAAAAAUUAUGAAAAAUCAUUCAAACAUUAUAGGUCCAAGACCUCUCCUAGGGUCAACCAAUUGAUCUGAAUUUAUCUAGACAUCUCAACCCUCUAUCAGUCCAUAGGAUUUUUAGAAAGAGAAAUCUAUGAAAAGAGAAACUUCUAGAGAGAGAAACUUAAAAAGAGAGAAAGUGAAGAGAGAAGGUAGAGAGAGGAGAGAGGAAAGAGAGAGAAAACUCUUUCUUUUCUUUUCUUUUCUUUCUUUCUUUCUUUCUUUCUUUCUUUCNNNNNNNNNNNNNNNNNNNNAAAAGAGAGAAAGUGAAGAGAGAAGGUAGAGAGAGGAGAGAGGAAAGAGAGAGAAAACUCUUUCUUUUCUUUUCUUUUCUUUUUUCUUUUUUCUUUUCUUUUCUUUUUCCUUUGUUCCUAUUUUUCUUCUUUCUUCUUCCUCUUUCUCUCACGAAAACUCUUUCUUUUCUUUUCUUUUUCUCUUUUUUCUUUUCUUUUUUUCUUAUUUUUUUUCUUUCUUCUUUCUCUUUCUCUUAUUUCUUCUUUCUUCUUCCUUCUUCAUGAAAUAGGAAAUCCGAACCCCCUCCCCUUCUCUCUGUAUCCGACCAUGGUGGAAGAACUCAAUCUAGCAAUCGAUGGCAGAACUCGAUGCCAAUCAGGAGAUGAUCUCGGUAGCAACCACAAUCAUUGGUGGUUGGCAAAACAAGGGAAAAAUGGCUCGAAACAGAGAAGGCCCUAUUUUUGCCCAAAACUAGCGAUUCGCUGGCUCAAAUCGAUAGUAAUAAUCCUGAGAAAGAAGAGCAAUUAAACUUUAAAUAUCUUACUUAGGUCCAGCGAGGCUAAACAAAGGGGAACCGAUGAUCUCUUGAGCGAAAUUCCAAAUUUGAUGAUGAAAAUCCAAGGAGAGAAGAUCAUCAUUUAUAGGCACAAUUAGGACUCGUUUUAGUCGGAGUUUAGGUAGGUUAAAUCCCUAGUAUUUGAUGAAAAUUGAGAGAAAAGAACAGACUCCUAACUGGAGUCCUCUUCCUCCCUCUCCCAUGUGCAUAGUGUGUGAGUUCAAAAUAUUUUUUUUUACUUGCUUUAAGAUUUGUGUGAGAAAGAUUUAAGGAUCCGGGUUCUUACAUUUAACCCAUUUAAUCUAACUUGAUCCGUUUAGUAAAUGGAUUAAGUGGAUUGGAUCGGGUUUGGUCGGAUUACCUGUUUGAUAAGCAAGUUGGAUUUGGAUCUAAAUUUUUGAUCUAUUUAAUUAACAAGUCAAUUUGGAUUAAUGAUUUUUUUAUCCAACCCGCAUCGAUCCGACCUGUAUCCAAUUGAAAUUUUACUAUGUCAACUUGACAUGUGCCACGUGACUCCAACAAUUAAAUAGGUUGAAAUAUUUUUUUUAAAGGGAGAAAAGAUUUAAUAAGAUUGCAAUACUUUAAAAACAAAAUACUAUUCAUUUGCACACUCUUCCUUACGUACAUCUUACGUGUUGAUGACUGGUUGUGCCCUAUUAAUAGAUAUUAAAGAGGAGAAGUAAGAGAUCUAAAAAUUAUAUUCUAUGCUGCAUGCAAUAUGUGGCCAUGUAUGCAUCCAUCACAGCCACUAAUUCUUAUAGGUCCCAUAUAUCAAGUGCUUAUUUCAGUACACCGCUAUAUGUACAUGGAUAUGUGUCAUGAUGCAUGUAGUGUCAGAUAUAAUUUAUCAUAAAAGAUCAAUUCAGGUCUCUCUCCAUAUUGUUCAUCUUCUGAUCUACUGUAAAAUUUAUUUCCAAACCUAUCUAUAUAUAUAUUCCAAUUUGUGAUCCUUAUCACUGGCUAUGUAGGCAGCACAGUGGAAUAAUUUGAAACAACAAUAAUUGUACACUUACAAUGCUCUAAAAAUCUUGGACCACCUUAAUUUAUGCCUCAUUGAGUAAUCAGAGGGGAAAGAAAAUGUAAAGGAGGCAGGCACAUGGCCAAAGGUGAGAAAGAGGAUGAGAGGGGAGGCGGAAUGGGAAUUACAAAUAUAGUAGGUUUAAAAGGGAUAAGUCAUGUCCCUCUUUCUCCUGGCUAAUAGGCAUCCCCCAAUAUUAACGAGGUUUAAAGCUUGUGGGAAUUGGGUCGUAUCUUUCAUGCAAAAGCAUGAUUGAUCUUCUCUCAUGACCUUAAUUGUUGGAUGGAGCUUUGCACACCUUUCAAAGCAUAACAUGAGUUUCAUGAUCGACGCUGCCGAUGGAAGGAAGAGGUUCAUUAUGCUUUGAAAGACAUGCAAAGCGUGAUCCAACAUUUGAGGUCACAAAAGAAGAUCAAUCAUUCUCUCAUGCGAAAGAUACAACUCGAAUCCAAAUACAUGAUGCCCUGAAAACCAUGGCUAUAUCAUUCUUUCCAUAUGGAAGAGCAAACCUCAGUAGCCAAGUUGGUCCCAGACCACUUGGUACUUGAUAAGGCUUCUUUGCUAUUGAAUGUAGAUGGAUGCUUCAUAGAACAGAAAUGUUCAUAGAGAGUUAUUGCAUUAAUGUAAUUACUAGAGAAUGUGGUGAACGGAAAUGUUAGAUCGUAUAUAACUUUGACUAGAAAAUAGUAUGUUCCCAAUUUAGCAUGUCGUAUGCAAAUGACUCUACUCACUCUAAAGUAUGAAAAUAUAAUACCAAUUUGACACAGUUCAGACAAAUGACAACUUCCAACUAUGUUUGCUUCGUUGGUUAUAUGAAUUUGUGACAUUACUUGAUGCAAUCAUUUAAUGAUGCUAAUUUGUAAUAGCCAUUCAAGCCAAAAAAAACAAAUUAGGCUUAGAUUAGCAUUUCCCCUAAGGCAAAACAUUUAGCAUUCAAGUCUUGUAAUGCUUAUCCUAGUCCACAGAAAUCUCUUGUUCUAUAUUUUAGUCCCACAUAAGCCUAUGCAAAAGAACCCUCCUACUCUUCUACUACUGCAAUGCCUGACUGUUCCUUCAAAUACUUCGAGAAGCAGGGAGAGAUUAUACAACAACUCCUCUUUCAUCAAAAAAAAAGAAAAAGAAAAAAAAACUCCUCUAGCUACUUACAUCAUGAUCAUUUUAAAAUUAAUUUUCUAGCUUCAGGCAAACAAUUUUAAGCAUUAGCUUUCUUUAUAGUUUUACUGUGAAUUUUAUUCAUUACUUAUGAAUUAUUUACUUGAUUAGCAACCAAAGCAGAAGAACAAUAGAAGCAGCCUCCCACAUAAGAAGGGUUAGUCGAUGUUUCUGAGGGGGCCUUUCUGGCCUUCUCCAUCGAUCUUAAUUAUUGAAGACUUCUGAGAGGGCCUCCCUGGCCUUCCAAAAAUCAUCACAUUACUUACAUAGUGCUGCCUGCCUGUGGAAUUUAAUCUUCUUCUUCUUCUUUUUUUUUGAUGGAAUGUGGAAUAUAAUCAGUCAAAGCAUUGAAAAUGCACUAUUCAAAUGCUUUAGGAAGAAAUAAAAAGUGUUAUGUAUGACACAUAAUCCACAGCUCUACAAGAGCAGGCAAAGCUGAUAUUCUUGAGCAUUCAAAGCAAACCACAUUUUAAAACAGAAAAGAUGAAAAUAUGGAAGCUUAUGAGAACAGAGAAAUGUAUGACAUAAGGUCUACUUUUCUUGCUUCGUUGUCAAAUUCUGGGAAGAUUGGAGGCUUGAUGAUAUACUGCACUGCUAUUGAUUGUGUCUGUAGGUUGUGACAACUUUCAAUUGUGGGUUUCAUCAGAAAAAAAAAAAGCAAUUUUGAGAUAGGAUAAUCACUGAACCUUUCAAAUAUUCAUCUACAAAUCUAUGAGAAAAAAUAAGUUUUUUACAGACUUCUCUUUCUUCCCUCCUCCAAGAAAUACAGAUAUAUGAUCACAUAUCAAACAAAGAUGGACUUCACGAAAGACUCCAUUCAGAUUCCAUGAAUGCCCAAUUUUUCAGGACCCAGCAACAAUCCCCUUCAAGGAUGAGUAUGGCCUGGUGUGAUUCUCCUUCAUUGGUUAUCACAUAUGCUUUGCUCUAUGAAAGUUUCAUCAGCACUGAUAUUUGGGAUCAUUGGUUGUUGCUAGAGAAUGGAAAUCUCAAUUUGAUGGGUGCAUUACAUAUCACAAGAGUUUUGUUCGUCAAAUUCAAAACCACUCUGAAGCAUAGAUAUUCAAAACAAAUCCAGUAUUCAAAGCAAAUCUAAGCAAAACCAGAAAGCAUGACCACGAACUGUCAUUCAUUACACAAGCAUAGAAUGAAACAUGCUUUCUGAACAUUUACCCUCUAUGCAAGCUUGUAGCUGAGAUAUCUACCUGUAAUAUUUAUGAUGACCACCUUAAUGUCAUGGCAUCAGAACCAUAGAGUCAAGCCUUGCCAAUCGUCUCCAGAUGGCUGGAGGUGUUGACAUGCUGCUGGUUAUGGUUGUCCAAAGCUGCUGAAGCUUAGCAAUCAGAACAACCAAUCGCCGGCAUGGUGCAAUUAUGAGGGUGAAAGGUAUAAUCCAGAUACCCAAUUCCAAUAUCAACAUCUCACAAACUCUUCCUGCUCAAGAUCAAGUAGCUUCAGGAUUCAAUAAUUCUUUGCUAAUGGUCUGUUAUAUUUAUAAUCUUCUUGUUUCCGAAAGCUGUUACAUCUCAGGAUGGUUUUACUAAUUUGUCUUAAUCUUUCCUACUAGCUGUUUCCCCAUUUCUAGUCAUUUCCUUGAACAUAUAGAAUUUUGAGCAGGUCGGCCCCUUGACUUUAUAUUAUUCUAUGUACAUGAUUGAUAAGGGGAAGGGAUGUGGAGCUUCUUCAUUGGUUUUU
rnacentral:lncRNA from 1 species